UGACCUGGUGCUGGGAUUUGGACCUGUUGCCUCCAUCAGACAGGGAACAGUCUCUAAAGUUGAAGAGAAAUUCCCAAUGCAGUAAAGGGUACUAUGGCAGUACAUUCUGGCAACAGGCUGGAAAGGGAAAGAGAAGGAAGGAAGGAAGGAAGGAAAACUACAGGCUGUGUGGAUUCCUGGUUCAUCAAACAACAGGCCACAGUUUUAAUCAGGACCCUGAUGUCUUGGAAGAAGGUAAUGUUGGCACUUUGCUUGUGGUGGAAUUCGCUUUGGUGAACCCACUGAGAGAUCACAAAGUCUCCCAGUCCUCUGAUGGAUGUAAACAGUUCCUCCCAUCACGGAAAACACACCUGGAAAAUUUUAAUUGCGUGGUCUGGGAGAAUUACAGGGGUUGGUUUGGAGGUGGCACGUGAGGGUUUCUUCCCCACCACCCAGUUUUGCUUUAGGAAGAAAAAAGGGUUUCUUUAAACACCCAAGUCUUGCAUCUAUUCAGGCUCUUCCUAUUUGGAGAGAGGUGCUAUUUAAGGAGGCAUUGAGGAGCACAAAGCCAGCCUGAUUCAUCGGGAGAUCAAAGAGGGAAUGCUGCCUUUGAGAUAAAGAUGGCUCUGCUUUGAAAGGCUUCUCCUUUGUUCAGGAGCUGC